rnacentral:rRNA from 1 species
AUUGAACGCUGGCGGCAGGCCUAACACAUGCAAGUCGAACGAGUGGCGGACGGGUGAGUAAUGCAUGGGAAUCUAGCUUAUGGAGGGGGAUAACUACGGGAAACUGUAGCUAAUACCGCGUACCAUAGGAUGAGCCCAAGUGGGAUUAGGUAGUUGGUGAGGUAAAGGCUCCCCUAGCCGACGAUCCCUAGCUGGUCUGAGAGGAUGACCAGCGACACUAGGACUGAGACACGGCCCAGACUCCGACGGGCGGCAGCAGUUGGGAAAAUGGGUCAAUGGGGGCAACCUGACGGAGCCAUGCCGCGGGAAUGAAGAAGGCCUUCGGGUUGUAAAGUUCGUUGGGUAGCGAGGCGUUAUCCACAGAGGAAGCACCGGCUAACUCCGUGACAGCAGCCGCGGUAAUAC